rnacentral:tRNA from 2 species
GCGAUGUUAGUUUAAUGGUAAAAUCUCUGCCUUCCAAGCAGAAGUAACGGGUUCGACUCCCGUACAUCGCUCCA